UAUUCAUUAGUUAAUAAUUUAAUAUAUAUAAAUUUUUUAGGAAAAUUGAUCGAAAUUCAAUCCAAGAAUUUUGCAAUAUAAAAAUGUCUCACUAUGAGAAGAUAUCUUCGAUACGAAAUGAGUUAGACAGAUAUGUACAGAAACCUGAAAGAAAACAGCUUUUGGAAGAAACAUGUACUUUCAUAGCACAACGUAUUCAACCUCGAAUAGAUGUAUGUUACACGAAUGUAAGUGCAUCAUUGGAUACAAUCGCACAAGAGGUACUGAAAUGUCUCAGACUGAAGCAUCCAAACCAUUCGAUAUUUUCCACGUCUGAAGAAACUUUUUCCUAUUGGAAAAGCAACAAUAUCGAAGAUAAUCAUUGGGAUGAAACAGAAAGUACGCAGAUUAUGGAUACACUCCAGGAAUAUAUAUUUAGCAUCUUGAAUUUUCGAGCAUGUAUCUCCCCAUUUUCACCCAAAGAUAUCAAAUGGAUUUGUAUAGAUUAUAAAAUGAACGAUGUUUUUACAUAGAAGACGAAAAUUUCCCGAAUUGUCUUCAUAAUUAUCUACCAGGUUACAAGUCUUGUGAAACAAAUCAUGACGUCAUCAAAAUAAGAACUGAAAAGAUGUUGGUCAUGAUAAAAGAUUUUGUUGAAACGUUUAUAUGGACACAUAAUAAUCUAUUUGGGAUUAAUGAAUUGUAAUGUGUAAAAAACAUACGCGCACUAACAUAAUCGCUAGUUAGUAAAUAACAUAUACCAUUGUAAAAAUAAAGAGCAUUGUGAGAUAUUUUCAGAUAA